rnacentral:rRNA from 1 species
AUUGAACGCUGGCGGCAGGCCUAACACAUGCAAGUCGAACGGUAGCACAGAGAGCUUGCUCUCGGGUGACGAGUGGCGGACGGGUGAGUAACGUCUGGGAAACUGCCCGAUGGAGGGGGAUAACUACUGGAAACGGUAGCUAAUACCGCAUAACGUCGCAAGACCAAAGUGGGGGACCUUCGGGCCUCACACCAUCGGAUGUGCCCAGAUGGGAUUAGCUAGUAGGUGGGGUAAUGGCUCACCUAGGCGACGAUCCCUAGCUGGUCUGAGAGGAUGACCAGCCACACUGGAACCGAGACACGGUCCAGACUCCUACGGGAGGCAGCUGUGGGGAAUAUUGCACAAUGGGCGCAAGCCUGAUGCAGCCAUGCCGCGUGUAUGAAGAAGGCCUUCGGGUUGUAAAGUACUUUCAGCGGGGUGGAAGGCGGUGAAGUUAAUAGCUUCACCGAUUGACGUUACCCGCAGAAGAAGCACCGGCUAACUCCGUGCCAGCAGCCGCCGCGG